rnacentral:rRNA from 1 species
AGAGUUUGAUCCUGGCUCAGAUUGAACGCUGGCGGCAUGCCUUACACAUGCAAGUCGAACGGCAGCACGAGAGCUUGCUCUUGGUGGCGAGUGGCGAACGGGUGAGUAAUAUAUCGGAACGUACCCUAGAGUGGGGGAUAACGUAGCGAAAGUUACGCUAAUACCGCAUACGAUCUACGGAUGAAAGUGGGGGAUCGCAAGACCUCAUGCUCAUGGAGCGGCCGAUAUCUGAUUAGCUAGUUGGUGGGGUAAAAGCUCACCAAGACGACGAUCAGUAGCUGGUCUGAGAGGACGACCAGCCACACUGGAACUGAGACACGGUCCAGACUCCUACGGGAGGCAGCAGUGGGGAAUUUUGGACAAUGGGCGCAAGCCUGAUCCAGCAAUGCCGCGUGAGUGAAGAAGGCCUUCGGGUUGUAAAGCUCUUUUGUCAGGGAAGAAACGGUGGACUCUAAUACAGAUCACUAAUGACGGUACCUGAAGAAUAAGCACCGGCUAACUACGUGCCAGCAGCCGCGGUAAUACGUAGGGUGCAAGCGUUAAUCGGAAUUACUGGGCGUAAAGCGUGCGCAGGCGGUUGUGCAAGACAGAUGUGAAAUCCCCGGGCUCAACCUGGGAAUUGCAUUUGUGACUGCACGGCUAGAGUGUGUCAGAGGGGGGUAGAAUUCCACGUGUAGCAGUGAAAUGCGUAGAGAUGUGGAGGAAUACCGAUGGCGAAGGCAGCCCCCUGGGAUAACACUGACGCUCAUGCACGAAAGCGUGGGGAGCAAACAGGAUUAGAUACCCUGGUAGUCCACGCCCUAAACGAUGUCUACUAGUUGUCGGGUCUUAAUUGACUUGGUAACGCAGCUAACGCGUGAAGUAGACCGCCUGGGGAGUACGGUCGCAAGAUUAAAACUCAAAGGAAUUGACGGGGACCCGCACAAGCGGUGGAUGAUGUGGAUUAAUUCGAUGCAACGCGAAAAACCUUACCUACCCUUGACAUGUCUGGAAUCCUUGAGAGAUCAGGGAGUGCUCGAAAGAGAAUCAGAACACAGGUGCUGCAUGGCUGUCGUCAGCUCGUGUCGUGAGAUGUUGGGUUAAGUCCCGCAACGAGCGCAACCCUUGUCAUUAGUUGCCACGAAAGGGCACUCUAAUGAGACUGCCGGUGACAAACCGGAGGAAGGUGGGGAUGACGUCAAGUCCUCAUGGUCCUUAUGGGUAGGGCUUCACAUGUCAUACAAUGGUACAUACAGAGGGCCGCCAACCCGCGAGGGGGAGCUAAUCCCAGAAAGUGUAUCGUAGUCCGGAUUGUAGUCUGCAACUCGACUACAUGAAGUUGGAAUCGCUAGUAAUCGCGGAUCAGCAUGUCGCGGUGAAUACGUUCCCGGGUCUUGUACACACCGCCCGUCACACCAUGGGAGCGGGUUUCACCAGAAGUGGGUAGCCUAACCGCAAGGAGGGCGCUCACCACGGUGGGAUUCGUGACUGGGGUGAAGUCGUAACAAGGUA